CUCCACAAAGCACUGCGUCUCCCCCCCGACUUCCCUGGGAUGAGAGGAAGAGACGGGCGCGAGCCCCCCUUUUCCUCCAGCAGCCCUCGCCCAGAAAAGUUUGGGGAGCGGGGCGAUGCGGCCUCCCCCUUUCGAGAACCGCCGGGACCCGCCUCAGCCCAGGUAAUAAGUUUGCAAGUUUGGGGCUGCGGAGGUGGCCGAGAGGAGAAGCAGCGGCCUCGGCAGCUCCUCGUGGGAGAUCGAAGCUACCCAGCCACCCCUUCAGUUCUCCCACCGGAGAGGGAAAACGGGGCGAGGGGAAUCGGCGGCCGCUGGCGAAGCAGAGGAAGGGGGGAGACAAGGUGGCUGCGGACGGCGAGUAACGGUCCCCGGGCAGGAGAGAGGCAUCCGGGCAGCAGAAGCCGGCUGAACGAGGAGGCACCGCUAGGAGGAGAAGCAGCAGCCAAGCAGGGAGGGAGCGCAGAACGGGCGAGAGAGGCAAGCGGUCGGGCAGGCAGCAGUGCUCGGCCGCCGGAACCUUGUUGCCAGGGGAGACGCUUUACGGCAGCGCGUUUGAACCGGCAGGAGGGAAAAGUUUCUCUCAGCUCGCCAGUAGGCAGUGAGAGUCUUUGGGUCCAAGAAAAGAAAAUGGAGAACAUUUUCAGAGAUUACCAAAAUCUUGGAAUUAAAAAAAAAAAAGCUGGCAUACUUCUGUCUAGGGCAUCUAUUAUUAGAGAUUUCCCAAACACAAUCUUUCCUUGGCUUUAUAGACCUGCAGAGAUUGUACAGCCCAUGUGAGGAUUCAUUGCAAAGUUACUUUUUCAUCACCAUCAUAAGUGUGAAGUCACUAAAUGAAAACUACAGGAACCUGCUAAGGCUUCCCAGAUGACAACUGCCAACACGUUCUCUUGUCCUGAAAUUUUAGCUGACGAACAGAAUCCAGCAAACAAGGCAAUCAGAUCAGAACAUCAGCAGCUUAUUUGCCUCUGAAGUCAAUAGAUGAAUAGAAUAAAAAACGAAUUGCUGCUUUGUAAGGUAGGCUACGGUGAUUGACACUCCAUCAGCCUCCCUUAUCCAGAUUGAUAAAGAUUGCAUCCUCCAUGGUAGACAUAUCACCUUCUGUGAUGCAGUUUCUCAAACUGUUUGUCAAAUUGCCAGCCUUGCAUUGGAAGCUGCCAGAGCUCUUUCUUAGCAGUAGAGGCAGUGGCUCAAGUCAUAACUCAGGACAGGGCUGACUGUCUGUCACUGAAUCACUAUGGUUAGAAGUUAUCGAUUUACAACUAUUGGUUUCCUGACCAUUUGAAGUUACAACAGCACUUGAAAAAGUGACCUACAAUUGUUCCUCACGCUUAUGACAGUUACAGCAUCCCCAUGAUCAAAAUCUGAGUGCUUGGCAACAGCAUGUAUUUAUGAUGGUUACAGCAUCCUGAAGGCGUGUGAUUGCUAUUUGUGACCUUCCCAGCUGGCUUCCAGCCAGCAAAGUCAAUGGGGGAAGCCAAACUUGCUUAACAACCAUAUGAUUCACUUAACUGUAGUGAUUUGUUUAACAACUAUGAGAAAAAAAGGGUAAACUUGAGUGUGAUGUAUUUAAUAACCUUCUUGCUUAGUUAUCAAAAUUCUGGUAUAAAUUGUGGUUGUAAUUCAAGAACUACCUGUAAUCGAGGGGUGAAAUCCAGCAGGUUCUGACAGGUUCUGAAGAGCCGGUAGCAGAAUCGGAGAACUGGCAAAUACCACCUCUGGCUGACCCCAGAGUGGGGAGGGAAUGAGGAUUUUGCAGUAUCCUUCUCUUGCCAUGCCCACCACAUGCCCACCAAGCCACACCACGCCUACCAAGCCAUACCACACCAUACCACGCCCACCAAGCCACGCCCACAGAACUGGUAAUAAAAAAAAUUGGAUUUCACCAUUGCUGUAAUCUCUAGGGAAUUCCAUGCACCUGCCUGAAUGCCACUAAUGAUCACUAAAUAAAUAUAACAUCAUUUAUUUGGAACAUUGGAAUGUUUAGUGGUAGCACUUUUGGGAUUUAUGUUUGUCAGAGGUAUCCUGUGCUUUUAAAGGUGGUAGAAAUUGAAUAGAGAGUAUUCCAGUACUCCAGGAAUAGCAUUAUGGCAUUAUAGUGUGUCAUUCAUUUGGAGAGUGAUGUUCCAUGGGUCAUGCAGGCACCACUUUGGGAAAUGAAAAUAAUAGCUGCCAACCAGGAGCCAGAAGUAGUAUACUACUGUCAGCACUGUCAAAGGGGCUUAGGUGAGAGAAAGGUAUAGGUCUAUUCAGCUGACUGCUUUCACAACAAUUUUUGGGACAACCAUAAUGUCAGUACUAGUUUCUAAAAUUGCAACACCAAUAGAGGAAUAAAAAUGUUAUUUUCAAAAGUUUGUGUCCAAGUACAGGAAUCUCUGGAGAAGAGGCUCUAAGAACAGGAAAUAGAUACUGCUUUUCAGUAAACAUCUCUUGGAGACAACUCUUGGCAAGACCAGUUUGUUCUAAAUUAAAGUUCUAUAACUUGCUAUAAAAUCUUAUAUGCUUCUUUCCAUUUCUUUAUACCAGGAUUUAUUGAUCCACAACUGCAUAGUAUAAUGGAAAUUUUAGUGUAUUGAACAAAAAUAAGAUCAUAUGAAAGGAAAACCUUAACAAAGCAAAAAUGAAAAUUAGGAUGCUAGUGCUUAUCCGUGAUUGCUUAGAACUAUUGGACCAGGUAACUUCCAGUAAGAAAAACAAAUACUUUCAAUAGGAGGUAAAUGAAUUCUUUGUAGUUUUGUCUGCUUGAAAAACAGGAUAACUUGAAAAUGUAUGGUGGUUAUGGUACUGUUAGGUAUCUAUUAAGAUAAAUAAGUACAACCGUGUUACCAGGGGUGAAAUCUAGCAGGUUCUAGCCGGUUCUGGAGAACCUGUAGCGGAAAUUUUGAGUAGUUAAGAGAUCCAGCAAAUACCACCUCUGGCUGGCCCCAGAGUGGGGUGGGAAUGGAGAUUUUCCAGUAUUCUUCCCCUAGAAUGGGGUGGGAAUGGAGAUUUUUGCAAUAUCCUUUCUCUGCCACACCCACCAAGCCAGCCCCACAGAACCGGUAGGGAAAAUUUUUGGAUUUCACCCCUCUAUGUUACUAACUUAACAACUACAAUAAAUCGCUUAACAACUGUGGCAAGAAAGAUCACAAAAUGGGGCAAAAAUCACUUAACAAAUGUUUCACUUAGCAACAGAAAUUUUGGGCUCAGUUCUGGUUGUAAGUCAAGAACUACUUGCAUAUACUGUUGGGAUUUCAGUGAAUAUUGAGUUGUUUGUAAAAAUAGCUUGAAAAGAUGUUAAUAGCAUAUAAUCUCUGAAAGAAUUGAAUUCAAUCUCAAUUCAACCUUUAUUGUCAAUGCACAACACAUGCACAAUGAGAUUGGCUGAGCCUCCCUUUGUGCACCCCCCCCCCCCAACAUAUCAAUAACUCACAAUGGGAGAAAGAAAAUCCCUAACCCAAUAAAUCAUACUAACAACACACAAUCCUCUCUCUAUAUAUAUGCAUAACAUUGCAUUAUAAUACAUAUAUUGCACCAAAAUGGACAUGUUGUACCGGCCCUGCAAGUCUAUCAUACUACAUGCUUAUGAUGUUACGUUGCAUUCAGGAGUCUUGACAGCCCAUGGAUAAAAGCUGUUCUUCAGCCUGUUCAUACGACUGGCUAUGCUUCUAUAUCUCCUACCUGAUGGUAGCAGAGUAAAGAAGUUCUGACCAGGGUGUGAGUUGACCCUGAGGAUUUUCCUCACUUUUCUAAGCGAGUCCUAGCGAUUUCAUCUAGAGAUGUCAGGGGAGAGCCCAUAAUGUUUUGUGCUGUGCUCAUCACCGUCUUUAAUGUCUUUCUCUCUGCGGUUGUCAAGCCAGCAUACCAUAUCGUGAUGCAAUAAGUGAGGACGCUUUCUAUUGUGGACUGGUAAAAGGAGGUCAUCAGUUGUUUUUUCCACCUUGUUCUUCUGCAAGACCCUAAGGUCUUCUCCCUAAGGAGUCUCCGUUUGGCCUUCCUGGCCACCUGGAUUUUGUUGUUUCUCCAGGUGAGAUCUUCACUAAGAUGAACUCCCAGGAAUUGGAAGGAGGGGACUAUCUCCACACAGCCCCCCUCGAUGUAAAAUGGGGCAGGUUUCUCUCUCUUCUUCUGGAAGUCCAGCACCAUCUCCUUUGUCUUGCGAUGUUCAGGUGCAGGUUGUUUUCUAAGCACCAUGUGGAUAGUGAAAUAGCAUAUAAGUCAUAAACUAGAAUUCAGAAAUAUGGCACUCAGAUCAGAAGUAUGCAACCUGAUACUUAUGGGCACCAAUAUAGCCUUCCUUAUAAACCAUCCAGGCUCCUGUUCCACCUGACUUUGUUUUCAGUUGAAAAACUUGACCUGGGAUACACCUUUUCCAAGUUGGUAAAGAGUAUUGGACGGGAGAACAAUAAUAUGUUCCUCUUCUGACACCAGUAGUAAAAUAGGUGUUUUAUUACAGGUCAUACUCAGUGUGUUAGAUACAAUAGGAAUAGGCAAUGAUUUACUGUAAGUGUCCAAAACUUAAUCUAAAUGGGACACUGGCCCACAACAACGUCAAUCUACUUUAGAUAAAUUAUAUCUAUCUCCAGACAGAUUAAUGGUUGAGGAUUUUUAAAUAUAUAUAUAUAAUGGCCAAGGAACCCUAAAUCCCCAGAAUUAUUUUAUGUGACCAUUUCAAAUUAUUAAAGGAUUUGAGAAUUAAUUUUUAAUGGCUAAAGGAUUCCUAUCAAUUAGGAUAAUUUCUGCGAUCAUUUAAAAUUAUAACAGAAUUUGAGAAUUAAUUUAAUAUUAUAACUUUCCCUAAACUGUCCUAUGAGUGUAUUGGGCUGCAGCACAUACAGUUUCCAAUUAAGGCCAUUUGUCCAAAAAUAUGGCAAAAGUAAUUUGAGGAUACCCUCUUGAGAACCAUUUCUGUAGCAUGCUGAGUUAUUUGAUGGUGUAAUCACAAUACAAUGAAGGUAACAAGGUGGUGAGUAAUAUUCUGAUUUUUUCCAGGAUUAAUUCUCCCCCCAACCCCAAAUGUCUAAUUUUGACUUAGUCUUCUUGAUUCUUAACAUGUCUUAGAACAAUUUAUCCUCUUGCUAUGCCCUGUAACAGAACUAUUCAUUAAAACUUUAUUUUCUGUGGGGAGCAGGUUGGCAGUUGUUACUCAUCCACCUGUCUCCUUUAAUAAAAGACUAAUACAUAAAUUGAAAUAUGUUUCUUUUGGAAGUAAGUUUUAGAUGAGAGAGCACAAUGCUGUACUGGAGAGCCAAGGGUCUGGUGUAAAGCCAACUGAAACCAAUUAUUCUUCCCAUUAGUUUCAGUGAUCGAUGGUGUGCACCUCAAACACAUCUGCUCUCUCCUCUGAAAUGGACACUAAGAGCAAUGAGGCAGUGGGGUUGCUUCAAUCAGCUGUAGGAACAAGUCAGGCAAAAAAAAUAAAUAAAUCCUAAAUCCACAGAUAGAACUGAAAUAAAUGAAUAGAUACGCAGUUUCAAAUUCUAGUACUGUACUUAGUAAAUAACUGACUUCUUUCUAAUUAAUAUAGCAGUGUAAGUGAAACUAAAGCGUUUUUAUUUCACAUAAUAAAAUUGCCUCUUUUGCUUAGCAACCAGUUUUACCUUCAGUUAAAAAACACAAUAUCUAAUUAAAGAAUAUUACUGAUAAUGUAAAAUUUCAAUUCAUUGCGACUCUUCCAAGUGUUGCACAAAGAAAAGUGAGUCAAUCUAUUCUCCAAAGCACUUGAAGGCAGAAUAAGAACCAAUGGGUGGAAACUAAUCAAAGAGAGAAUCAACCUAGAACUAAGGAGAAAUUUCCUAACAGUUAAAGCAAAUAAUCAAUGGGACGACUUGCCUCCAGAAGUUGUGGAUGCUCCAACACUGGAACCUUUUUAAGAAGAGAUUGGACAACCAUCUGUCUGAAAUGGUAUAGGUUCCUGCUUGAGCAGGGGAUUGGACUAGAAGAUCUCAAAGAUCCUUUUCAACUCUGUUAUUUUGUUAUUCAAUUUUAAUUUAAUUUUUUAAUUUAAUUUGAUUUAUAUGCCGCCCUUCUCCGGAGACUCAGGGCAGCUUACAAUGUGCUAAGCAAUAGCCUUCAUCCUUUUGUAUAUUUAUACAAAGUCAGCUUAUUGCCCCCACAAACUGGAUCCUCAUUUCACUUACCUUAGAAAGGAUGGAAGGCUGAGUCAACCUUGAGCCUUGGCGAGAUUCGAACUGCAGUAAUUGCAGGCAGCUGUUCUUAAUAACAGGGUGCUUUAGACCACUGUACUACCAAGGCCCUCAAGUGUGGCUUCUUGACUCAUGUAGGCGGUUUCAACACCCAGGACUUUUGCUGUGAACAGGAUUGGUAGCCAUUGCUUUUUUGUAAUUAAUUAAACCUGCCCUAUUCAACUGCAUCCUUAACAUAUUUUGAUCAAAAGUAUUUCUCACUGAAUUACAGGAGUUACCUCCUAAUCCUAUACUUAGAAUUGUAAACAGCUAUUUAGGACUCUGAAACCCACUCACUACUCAAUGCUGGAAUUAAAAACUUUCCCAACAGAUUGUUGUCCAACCUCUGCCUAAACACAUCCAGCAAUUGGGAAUAUACCAACUCCUUAAGUAUUCCACUGUGGAACUAUCCUUAUUGUCUACAAGAUGUGUAGAAAAUGUUCAGUAUGAAUUUGCAAUUGUACCUUAAAACCAUCUGUGUCUUUCAUGUUGGAAAUAUCAUGAAAGAUCAUGGUAUUAUUCUAAGAGACAUGCUUUCAGAACAUGUUUUUCUUAAGGCUAUACAUAUGCAUUCCUUUAAUCUGAGUAUUUAUAACUUAGUUUUCAAUCUCCAUAUUGUAUUCUCCAGAUAGAAACAGUUUCUAUCUGUUUCUGUCUCAAUCUUAAAACGUCAGAAUACUGCAUUUUCAUGCACCCUUUCUUGGUUCCCCCUUCAUAGUACUCAACAUUCCCUGCCAAGUAGAGUGAAUGCAGAUAUAUAUUGCACUUUUAGUCACAAAAAUGAUCUCCACCCAAUCAGGAAUCACACACUGGACAGCAUGUUAUACAGGAUUGUACUCUCUAGCUAAUAACAUAACUAAAGUUUAAGUGAGUUAAAAUAAUAGUAGAAUUAAAUUAUUAUAAAUAAACAAGCACUUAAAAGUAUUGUGAGAGAAAUGAAAAAUGGUAACUGUCUAAGGAGAUUCUUUAGGUCAUCCAGAUCAUGCUUGUCCCAAACAUGCAUUUUCAAAAGGCAACUGAACUUCUUGUUUUUGCUUUAAGACAUUUUGCUUCUCAUCUAAGAAACUCUGAAGGAAUGGUGGAGAAUGGAAGGAUUUAUAUUUCUUGUAGUCAUCUGGUUGUUAGCACUCUUUCUGAAAGUUGUUGAGGCUCUUUGGAGAUUUAUCUGUGCUCUCAGGAUCACCUUAAUAGUGCAAAUGAGUAAGGAACCAUCUUGAAACUGCUGAAAGGACUGUGUUGUAAAUAAGAAAUAGAUGUUUGAUGAGGGAGGGCUGUUCAAUCUUAAUGUAGAUUACCUCUUUGACCCCUUUCAAACCAGCGGUUCUCUAUGUCCAAAAUGUGACCUUUGCUAUCUUCAAAACAAUGACCUACAUUUGAAAGACAAACUCUAGGUUGGAGAGAACCAACCUAGAACUAAGGAGAGAUUUUUUGACAGAACAAUGAACCAGUGGGAACGGUUUGCCUCCAGAGGUUAUGGAUACUUCAUCACUGGAGGUUUUUAAGAAGAGAUUGUACACAGCCAUUUGUCCAUAAUGAUAUAUGGUAUCCUCUUUGAGCAGGGGGCAGGACUAGAAGAUCUCCAAAGUCCCUUCCAACUCUGUUAUUGUGUUAAAUAGGUUUGCAGUGACACGCUACAAUUAGAAUAGGCAAUUGAUUAUUCAAAACCGUAGUUUUUAAAGUGUGUGCUGAAAAUAUAUUUUAGAGCUAAUUAAAACAAAGAAGUUAGAUUAUUUGUGUACAUAACAUAUACGUGCUGUUUGGAACAUCAUGCCCCUCUGAGGUGGAAAACACACCCACCUUUUUGGUCUUUUGAAAAAUCCUGAAGCUUGGCCUUGCCAAAUGUUCUGUGGGGGAUGUUAUUCUGAAAGUAGUUAGCAGGCUAGAGAGGACCCUACCUCUCUCCUUGUAUGUAUCUUGAUCUCUUCUUCACAUUUUUAUCCAUUUUAAAUUAAUGGUGUUAAUUGUAAUGCUUUUUAUUGGUUUUUAAUGAUUGUUAAGCACCUGGAGUCACCUCUAGGUGAGGUGUGCAGCAUAUAAAUUACAUGAAUAAAUAAACAAAGAAAUAAAACAGCAUAAACUUGAAUAAAUAAGAUUGGGAAAAACAGAAUGUUGCAUGUUUCCAUCUGUUUUCCAACUUUGUUAGGGAACUUCUAAGGCAUUCAAGGUAGACUAAACAAGAAACCUGAACAAUAGAUUUGUUUCUCUAGCGUUAAAUGCUUAAACUGUAAAUUUCUGAACACUGUUCUAAUUAAUAAACAAACUCAGUGUGGAUUCAAUCUCCUUUCUCUGAAUCAAUAAACAGAGAAGUCAUGAGAAAAGGACCUUCUCCCUUCAGGGAGUUUUUUCUUUUAAAUGUUAACUCUGAUUGUUAAUAUCCUGUUUCUAUUUCUUUGUGAAAUCACCCCCACAGAAAAACACCUCACUUAUUUUUUACACUGCCUUGUGCUUUCUGUUGGUAUUUUGUUUUCAUGCAUUUAUCUAUGCCAAAGAUGAUAAUUAUUAGUUGCUAAAAUAAACUUUUAAAAUGGGAAUACAUGUUCAUUGCAAAGUCAAGUCUGAAAAAAUUAAGAAUUUCAAAUGACACUUUAAUUCAUGAUUAGAUACUUGUUAGAAUCACAUGCAUACACAAUCCACUUUUCAGAAACAAAGAGAAGAAAAUAACAUUAAUCUGGGGGAAGAGGCACACUUUAAAAUAGAUAUCUCUAAUAUGGCAUUUUUUGUUAUAUUGGGACUACAAAUCUCAUAAACCCAGUCUUAUAAAAAUGCCAGGUUGGCGCACUUGAUUUAUAUUACUAUCUACAUAAAUAGCCAAUAUCCAGAGAAUGAAACUGGUGGAGACAACUAAAAUUUCAGAUAUUUAUCCAUUGCGAUAUAUCAUCAAGCAUUUCAAAAGA